GCUCUAAAUGGGAGGUAAAUUUCUUCUAAAGCUAAAUAUUGGCCAGAGACCGAUAGCGCACAAGUAGAGUGAUCGAAAGAUGAAAAGCACUUUGAAAAGAGGGUUAAAUAGCACGUGAAAUUGUUGAAAGGGAAGCGUUUGCGACCAGACCUUUUCUUGGCGGAUCAUCCGGUGUUAUCACCGGUGCACUUCGCCAAGUUGAGGCCAGCAUCGGUUUUUGUAGGGGGAUAAAAGCCUGGGGAAUGUGGCUCCUUCGGGAGUGUUAUAGCCCCUCGCAUAAUACCCUUACGGGGACCGAGGACCGCGCUUUAUGCAAGGAUGCUGGCGUAAUGGUCGUCAACGACCCGUCUUGAAACACGGACCAAGGAGUCGAACAUUUGUGCGAGUGUUUGGGUGUUAAACCCUCACGCGUAAUGAAAGUGAACGGAGGUGAGAGCCCUUACGGGUGCAUCAUCGACCGAUCCUGAUGUCUUCGGAUGGAUUUGAGUAAGAGCAUAACUGUUCGGACCCGAAAGAUGGUGAACUAUGCGUGGAUAGGGUGAAGCCAGAGGAAACUCUGGUGGAGGCUCGCAGCGGUUCUGACGUGCAAAUCGAUCGUCAAAUCUGCGCAUGGGGGCGAAAGACUUAUCGAACCAUCUAGUAGCUGGUUACCGCCGAAGUUUCCCUCAGGAUAGCAGUGUUGUUCUUCAGUUUUAUGAGGUAAAGCGAAUGAUUAGGGACUCGGGGGCGCUUUUUAGCCUUCAUCCAUUCUCAAACUUUAAAUAUGUAAGAAGCCCUUGUUACUUAAUUGAACGUGGGCAUUUGAAUGUACCAACACUAGUGGGCCAUUUUUGGUAAGCAAGAACUGGCGA
rnacentral:rRNA from 1 species